rnacentral:rRNA from 1 species
UACGUAGGCAGCAAGCGUUGUUCGGAAUUACUGGGCGUAAAGCGCGUGUAGGCGGCUAAGUAAGUCGGGCGUGAAAUCCCACGGCUCAACCGUGGAAGUGCACUCGAAACUGCAUAGCUAGAGUCCUGGAGAGGAAGGUGGAAUUCCUGGUGUAGCGGUGAAAUGCGUAGAUAUCGGGAGGAACACCGGUGGCGAAGGCGGCGAUCUGGGUAGAUACUGACGCUGAGGUGCGAAAGCGUGGGGAGCAAACAGG